ensembl:lncRNA
CUCUCUCUUUCUCCCUCUCUCUGUCUCUGUCUGUCUCUGUCUGUCUGUCUCUGUCUCUGUCUCUGUCUCUGUCUCUGUCUCUCUGUCUCUCUGUCUCUCUGUCUCUGUCUGUCUCUCUCUGUCUCUGUCUCUGUCUCUGUCUCUGUCUCUCUCUCUCUCCUUCAGGUUAGAGCUAUGUAUGCUGCUGGAGAAUGAGAAUAUCUUUGAAUCAGAGACUAACAGUGAGGUUUUUUCCUCUUCACACCCUCUCUCUUACCAGAAGAUAACAGUGGAGAAGCUGCCCAAUCUGUCGUGUCUAACCACGCUGCUGAAUCGCUACACUACAGAUCCCCGGUAUCAGCAACUCUUCAUCAAUCUGGAGCCAUACAUAAACAAAUCAGCAAUGUCAGUCCAAGCUCAUUUCUCGCUGCAACGCACCUACAUCAUCUUUCGCACCCUAGGGCUUCGCCACCUGACUGUUGUUGACCCACAGAACCGAGUGGUUGGGAUAAUCACCAGGAAGGAUCUGAUGCCUCUUCCGCUGCAGGAGAGGCUCAGGCUCCAGCUGGCAUCACAAAGCCCUGACGCGGGUGAGCAGCUCAUGGAUUAGACAAGAAGAUCAGGCCAAUGGAUGUGUUCUUAGGCUUCAUUACUUCUUUUUGAGCCCUUGUUCUUCCUCAGGAGAAAACAAUCAGAGCUUUUCCACUUUUCUGAAGAAGAGAUGCUUAAAAGCUGUCGUAUGUAGACAUGUGGGAUUGUAGCCCAGAGCUAUGUCUCUUCAACAGUUUGGUGAUUGCAAAAUCCAUUGAUUUAAAUGCUUGUGAGAAAAAUUGGGAAUUUAUGUGUUUAUCCAUCAUGGAAGAUGCACAUAAAAUCAGAUAUGAAGGAUGAAUGUCAAGAAUGUUUUUGUCACACUGUGACUAUGCCUCACAAUGAAAAAAUGUCAGGACCCUUAGCAGCAAAGUUAGGCUGGCAAAACCUUUUAGUGAGGAUUAAAUCAACCUUUGAGUACGUAACUGGCUGUUGAAAAGGAAAAUGUUUCCGUAUCAGCAUUUUUAUGUUGAAAUAUGUAUGUUUAACUGAGAGGAAUUAUUGCCUUGAGAGAGGGGUAGGCAACUGAAAGGAAUGGGUUUGGACUUUCCAAUUGGCCUACAUGUAUUAGAAACUGAAAGAGAGAAUUGUCCGUAAGGGAAAGAUACUGAGUGUGGGGCUUCUGCCAAAUAACCAUCACACUUCACAGUUAUAGCAACUUGACAUGUCUUUCUGCUGCUUUCAUUUCUUUUAAUGACUGCAGCUCCUAGAAUAAGGCUCUCUUUCUCUCAACCCACCUGAUAUAGUAAUUUUUUUAGUGAAGUUCAUGUGCAGUAAGGCAAAGGGCAAAUCAAAUAAUAGGAGAAGCAGCAUGGUAGAUUUGGGAGUAGUUUUUGUGUAUAUAGCAGCACAUUUAGAAACUAGGCAUAAAGUAAAUGAUUAUUCAUGACUUUGGAGUCAUAGAAUGUUUGAAACCUUGGAAACUAUGCUAAGUGUUGGUUGUUAAUAAAUGAAUGUGUACAAUUUUUUGGAUAAAGAGA